CUCUACAGACUACAGGAGCGUCGCUAUCCAUUUCCUCGUGACGGCCAAAGUGAUUGGCACGGCUGCCACCAGUCCGACACGAUCUUUGCGCCGGGUGACUCGCUCAGGACUCAGGAGAGAGGGGGAGGCGAGCGGCAACAGCAGCAGGAAUGGCGGCGCUCCCGGUGUCCGCGCACCCAGCUCCGGCGCCGGCUUCCUUCCGGCCGUCGGCGGCGGCGGCCUCGCGCUUCAGCCCGUGUGCACAGGUUGCGGGACCUGCUUCUGAUUUUAGAACACAAGUUUGCGGAUUGAGAUGUUUGAUCGCUGCAAAGCUGAAGUUUCGGAAGACCUUGAAGAGGCAUGGAUGGCAGCAUCGAAGGAAUCUAAAAGUCCAAGCCAACGAUUCUGGAGGUGAAACAUCAAAUACAUGCCCCGAUACUGUGGAAAGUUCGACGAGUGAGAAAAGUUUGAAGAAUGGAAAACUUAACCCCUCUGAAACCCAUCCUCCUGUGCUAAAGGAAGAUCCUAUUCUAUUUGAUGAUCAACCUGAAAGUCCAGCAGCUCUUUGCAUUGCUGUAAUUGGAGCAACUGGUGAACUGGCAAGAAGUAAAGUGUUCCCUGCUCUAUUUGCUCUAUAUUACAGUGGUUUUCUUCCUCGGAAUGUUGGUAUAUUUGGGUAUUCUAGGAAGACACUAACGGAUGAAGAUCUAAGAUCCAUUAUUGAAGCCAAUUUGACCUGCCGGGUAGAUCACCACGAAAAUUGUGACGAGAAGUUAAAUGAAUUCCUUAAAAAGACAUACUAUAUAGAUGCAGGUUAUGAUAACAAAGAUGGAAUGGGGAAAUUAAAUUCCAGAAUGUCACAGAUAGAGGGUAAUUGUGCAGCAAACAGGAUAUUUUACCUUGCUGUUCCCCAAGAGGCACUUCUGGAUGUUGCACUGCCACUAGCUGACAUUGCCCAGACUACACAAGGCUGGAAUAGGAUAAUAAUUGAGAAACCAUUUGGCUUCACUGGUUUGACUUCACACCGGGUAACACAGUCACUGUUGUCAAGAUUUGAGGAGGAGCAGAUCUACAGGAUUGAUCAUCUGUUGGGGAAGGAUCUGAUUGAAAAUCUCACAGUCCUGAGAUUUUCUAAUUUGGUGUUUGAACCUUUGUGGAGUCGCACCUAUAUACGCAAUGUGCAGGUCAUAUUUUCUGAAGAAACAGCAGCAGAAAUCCAAGGGAAAUACUUUGGAAAUUAUGGUAUAAUCCGUGACAUAGUGCAUAGUCACAUCCUUCAAACAAUAGCGUUGUUCGCUAUGGAACCACCUGUAAGUCUUAAUGGAGAGGAUAUCCGAGAUGAGAAGGUGAAGGUGCUCAGAUCAAUUCGAAAGGUGGACCUUGAGGAUGUUGUUCUUGGUCAACUAAAAGAUACCUCUGUGGAAAUUGACAGAUAUACAAAAUCGAUGACACCAACCUAUUUUGCUGCUGCCAUGUACAUUGACAAUGCACGUUGGGAUGGUGUACCAUUUUUUAUCAAGACAGGCAUUGGGCUAAUGAAGAAUAGAGCUGAGAUUCGUAUUCAGUUCAACCAUGUUCCUGGCAAUAUCUACCAUGAGCGCUUUGGCCAUGGCACAGAUUUUGACACAAAUGAGCUGAUUUUGCGUGAUCAACCAGAAGAAGCCAUUCUCUUAAAAGUAAACAAUAAGAUCCCUGGACUUGGGCUCCAAUUAGAUGCUUCAGAACUCAACAUGCUUUACAGGGAUAGGUACAAUGUCGAAGUGCCAGAUUCAUACGAGCAUCUUCUCCUGGAUGUGCUCGAUGGGGAUAAUCAUCUUUUCAUGCGCAGUGAUGAAUUAGCCGCUGCAUGGAACGUGUUAACUCCAGUAAUCCAAGAGAUUGAUCAGAAUAGAAUAGCUCCUGAGCUCUAUGAGCCUGGGGGUAGAGGGCCCGUUAAUGCUUUCUACCUUGCUGCUAAACAUGGGGUCAGAUUAGAUGAUGAAUGGUGAGGGGGAUUGGCCUGGUUGCUAAACAAUGUAUGACAUAUUUUCGUUUUUAGGGUUUUGCCCCUUCUACUCGACAUUGCAGAUUGCACCAACCCAGGGCAACAGCGGCGGACGAAUGCGUGUGACGUACCGACGUCUAAGGUUUAGAUCUGUAAGGUAUUGUGGGGGAGAUGAGCAGGAAAAUUUUACUGAGACGAGGGAGCACAAAUGUCUAAAAUGCUGCAUUGGUUGGUACAUUUAAUCCAUCGUCUGUAAUUUACAGUCUUGAAUCUUGAAUCAUGCACCCUUGUCUUUUCGUUUUGUUUAUACUUAUA